rnacentral:misc_RNA from 1 species
GGAACCUUCAACUAAUAUUAUAGUUCUGGCCAACUAUGAUUCUGUUCAUUGGUUAAAUGACUUAGGUGUUAUGAUUACUCUCCCACAUACAAUACAUGCCUAAUUAGUAAAACUGUCAUCCAUUUGUAGUUCUUUUUGCCCCAUAUAUUAUUCCUGCUGAUAUGAGCUAAGAAGAAACUAGAUCAGGUAAUUUGAUAUCAUCGCAAAUUCUUAAGAGGGUAGGCCACAAAUUUCAGCUCUCAACUUGUGAAAUUGA